GACGAACGCUGGCGGCGUGCCUAAUACAUGCAAGUAGAACGCUGAAGGAGGAGCUUGCUUCUCUGGAUGAGUUGCGAACGGGUGAGUAACGCGUAGGUAACCUGCCUGGUAGCGGGGGAUAACUAUUGGAAACGAUAGCUAAUACCGCAUAAGAGUAGAUGUUGCAUGACAUUUGCUUAAAAGUUGCAAUUGCAUCACUACCAGAUGGACCUGCGUUGUAUUAGCUAGUUGGUGGGGUAACGGCUCACCAAGGCGACGAUGCAUAGCCGACCGGAGAGGGUGAUCGGCCAGACUGGGAGGGUGACCGGGCCCAGAGGGAUUGGGGAGCGGGCAGUAGGGAUACGGGGGCAAGGGGUGGAAGUUUGACCGAGAAAGGCGGAAGGAGGAAGGAGGGUUUCCGGAUGGGAGAGGACGGUUGUAGGGGUAGAACGAGUGUGAGAGUGUAAAGUACACUGUGUGACGGUAAUGGACCAAAAAGGACCGGCUAACUACGUG
rnacentral:rRNA from 1 species